ensembl:lncRNA
GCUAAACUCGAACAUCAACAAAACCUCCGCUGCAUAUUUUAGCACCUUGACCAGAGAUUCAACCAGGCAUGGUAAUUGAACUAACUGUAUUCUGCUGGUUUCUUUUGAAAGACUACAUUUAACAGAUGACUUCUCUAUAGUGCGAAAUGGAUUAUCAACGGCAUAUUACCUCACGUCCAUUGAGAAUUCUUUGCCUUUUUAAUCUGGUAUCCUCUGUAUUGUUGUCCAGCUGUCCUCGAAUCUGUGACCCAGGCUUCAUUAUUGACAAGUGUAAGUGUGUCCUUUGUCCCGAUGGCGACUACUGGUACAUGCAGAACGGACUUCCGAAGUGUGACCGAUGCAGCGAAGCCUGCUCGGUGGAUCAGCACUUGACACAGGUGAAGGAAUGCGGCCGGGACUCAAACCGCGAGUGCCACUGUGACAGUGGCUUUUUCUGUGACAACGCUGCCCAGUAUACCUGCAGGAGGUGUAAGCCGUGCUCGCCCGGAACCUUCUCUAACAAACCAAACCUAACCAUGUCCUGCAAACCCCACACAGAUUGUGGCCAUAAGGGAAUGACUAUGGUGACAGAGGGCACUGCCACUCAGGAUCGUGUAUGUGCCCAGACCUCCCCUAACUCUCCUACAACCACUGCGCCUCCAACUGUCCAAAGCUCAGAGAUAGGCUUUCAUUCUUCUACCUCCAGUGGAGUCAGCACCACCCGAAAACCCCUCAUCAUAGCAUCCCCAUCUGGCCUGGUGGGGUCUACAUCUCCUGAUGCCUUUCCCAUAGCCACAAUUGACACAUCUGCAGACCCUUCACCAGCCUUACUCACCAGGCCUUCUUUGUCCCAAGCCCAAAGCGAGCCCUCUACCUCCCUCCCAACUAGGAAAAAAGUCGCUGAACACAGCUUCUUUGACCCCAACACAAAGCUCACCACCAGGAGAAACCUCAGAAAGGUGGACAGUAACACCCCACCUGCAGAGUCUGCCUCUGCACCUCUUACCACAGAUGACAAUGACCCACCUCCUCUCUCAGCAACAGAUACUGGACCGAGCCCUUCCACUCUCCCUUGGCUGCUGCUGAUAGGUGGGCUACUAGGGGUUGUCGUGCUGCUGGUUGUUUACUUUGUCCGUUGUAAGGAGAGGUCACUGAAGUCCCUAGACAAGUGGAAAGGUCCAGUAUUUGGUAUAAAUAUGGCUUCCUAUAUACAGGCCCAGCCACCACAGGAGAGUUGCCCAUACCCGGAGGCCCAGCAUCUUCUGGGGAGUGAGACUGGGGGAAAUCCUAGACAGGAUGGUGCAGGGUUGCUACCUCCAGGGGUCAUGAAGCAGGUCACAGUGGACCACUCUGGUGGAGAGAACAUUAGCAACACAGUGGGGUCCAUUUACAUCUACUCUCCGGGGACGGUUGUCCUGGGAUACAACAAGUCGGAGAGGAAGGUGGAUCAAGUCGAGAAUGGGGUAGAGGGCUGUCCCCUCACCAGAACACCCCAGCAGGAGUCCUCCUGCCCCCUCCCUGAGGGCCCUGCUCUGGGGCCAGAGAGAAUGAGUACACAGGAGGAGACCUGCAAAGAGCUGAGAUACCCCAUCCCGGCCACCAGCAACUGA